GGGAUCUUUCUCAUGGUCUCACCACCACACCGAGUCUGAGUCUCACUCUCACCCCAAAUUAGGUUGUUUUUCUUGAAUCAUUUAUUCUCGAGCAGCUUUUAAAGGUUUAGCAUACAAGCGCUACAAGAUGGACGGAUCUAGUAACCAAUCUAGUACACAUAUGGUCUCGGUAUUAGGAAAACGAAAACAAACUCAACCUAGUGGUACCCUUCAACUAGGCACUCCCUCACCUCAAGAUUAUUUGCAUAAUGAUUAUUAUGAAGAUUGUUGGGAUGAUGAUCUGGAUGUGGAGGAGGAUAUUUCAUU